rnacentral:rRNA from 1 species
GAUGAACGCUGGCGGCGUGCUUAACACAUGCAAGUCGAACGAUGAAGCCCAGCUUGCUGGGUGGAUUAGUGGCGAACGGGUGAGUAACACGUGAGUAACCUGCCCUUAACUCUGGGAUAAGCCUGGGAAACUGGGUCUAAUACCGGAUAGGAGCGUCCACCGCAUGGUGGGUGUUGGAAAGAUUUAUCGGUUUUGGAUGGGCUCGCGGCCUAUCAGCUUGUUGGUGAGGUAAUGGCUCACCAAGGCGACGACGGGUAGCCGGCCUGAGAGGGUGACCGGCCACACUGGGACUGAGACACGGCCAGACUCCUACGGGAGGCAGCAGUGGGGAAUAUUGCACAAUGGGCGCAAGCCUGAUGCAGCGACGCCGCGUGAGGGAUGACGGCCUUCGGGUUGUAAACCUCUUUCAGUAGGGAAGAAGCGAAAGUGACGGUACCUGCAGAAGAAGCACCGGCUAACUACGUG